rnacentral:rRNA from 1 species
UACAGAGGGCCCAAGCGUUGUUCGGAUUCAUUGGGCGUAAAGGGUGCGUAGGCGGCGCGGUAAGUCGGGUGUGAAAUCUCGGGGCUUAACUCCGAAACUGCAUUCGAUACUGCCGUGCUUGAGGACUGGAGAGGAGACUGGAAUUUACGGCGUAGCGGUGAAAUGCGUAGAUAUCGUAAGGAAGACCAGUGGCGAAGGCGGGUCUCUGGACAGUUCCUGACGCUGAGGCACGAAGGUCAGGGGAGCAAACGGG